rnacentral:rRNA from 1 species
AUAAUGGGUCAGCGACUUAUAUUCUGUAGCAAGGUUAACCGAAUAGGGGAGCCGAAGGGAAACCGAGUCUUAACUGGGCGUUAAGUUGCAGGGUAUAGACCCGAAACCCGGUGAUCUAGCCAUGGGCAGGUUGAAGGUUGGGUAACACUAACUGGAGGACCGAACCGACUAAUGUUGAAAAAUUAGCGGAUGACUUGUGGCUGGGGGUGAAAGGCCAAUCAAACCGGGAGAUAGCUGGUUCUCCCCGAAAGCUAUUUAGGUAGCGCCUCGUGAAUUCAUCUCCGGGGGUAGAGCACUGUUUCGGCAAGGGGGUCAUCCCGACUUACCAACCCGAUGCAAACUGCGAAUACCGGAGAAUGUUAUCACGGGAGACACACGGCGGGUGCUAACGUCCGUCGUGAAGAGGGAAACAACCCAGACCGCCAGCUAAGGUCCCAAAGUCAUGGUUAAGUGGGAAACGAUGUGGGAAGGCCCAGACAGCCAGGAUGUUGGCUUAGAAGCAGCCAUCAUUUAAAGAAAGCGUAAUAGCUCACUGGUCGAGUCGGCCUGCGCGGAAGAUGUAACGGGGCUAAACCAUGCACCGAAGCUGCGGCAGCGACGCUGAUGCGUUGUUGGGUAGGGGAGCGUUCUGUAAGCCUGCGAAGGUGUGCUGUGAGGCAUGCUGGAGGUAUCAGAAGUGCGAAUGCUGACAUAAGUAACGAUAAAGCGGGUGAAAAGCCCGCUCGCCGGAAGACCAAGGGUUCCUGUCCAACGUUAAUCGGGGCAGGGUGAGUCGACCCCUAAGGCGAGGCCGAAAGGCGUAGUCGAUGGGAAACAGGUUAAUAUUCCUGUACUUGGUGUUACUGCGAAGGGGGGACGGAGAAGGCUAUGUUGGCCGGGCGACGGUUGUCCCGGUUUAAGCGUGUAGGCUGGUUUUCCAGGCAAAUCCGGAAAAUCAAGGCUGAGGCGUGAUGACGAGGCACUACGGUGCUGAAGCAACAAAUGCCCUGCUUCCAGGAAAAGCCUCUAAGCAUCAGGUAACAUCAAAUCGUACCCCAAACCGACACAGGUGGUCAGGUAGAGAAUACCAAGGCGCUUGAGAGAACUCGGGUGAAGGAACUAGGCAAAAUGGUGCCGUAACUUCGGGAGAAGGCACGCUGAUAUGUAGGUGAAGCGACUUGCUC